CUGUUCGCCAUUUAAAGAGGUACGUGAGCUGGGUUUAAAACGUCGUGAGACAGUUUGGUCCCUAUCUUCCGUGGGCGCUGCAGAUUUGAGGAAGCCUGCUCCUAGUACGAGAGGACCGGAGUGGACGAACCUCUGGUGUACCGGUUGUCACGCCAGUGGCAUUGCCGGGUAGCUAAGUUCGGAAGAGAUAACCGCUGAAAGCAUCUAAGCGGGAAACUCGUUUCAAGAUGAGAUCUGCCGGGGCCUUGAGCCCCCUAAAGAGUCGUUCAAGACCAGGACGUUGAUAGGUCAGGUGUGGAAGCGCAGUAAUGCGUUAAGCUAACUGAUACUAAUUGCUCGUGCGACUUGACCCUAUAACUUUG
rnacentral:rRNA from 1 species